GUUAAGCGACUAAGCGUACACGGUGGAUGCCCUGGCAGUCAGAGGCGAUGAAGGGCGUGCUAAUCUGCGAUAAGCGCCGGUAAGGUGAUAUGAACCGUUAUAACCGGCGAUACCCGAAUGGGGAAACCCAGUGUGACUCGUCACACUAUCAUUAACUGAAUCCAUAGGUUAAUGAGGCGAACCGGGGGAACUGAAACAUCUAAGUACCCCGAGGAAAAGAAAUCAACCGAGAUUCCCCCAGUAGCGGCGAGCGAACGGGGAGGAGCCCAGAGCCUGAAUCAGCAUGUGUGUUAGUGGAAGCGUCUGGAAAGGCGCGCGAUACAGGGUGACAGCCCCGUACACAAAAGCGCAUGUGCUGUGAGCUCGAUGAGUAGGGCGGGACACGUGGUAUCCUGUCUGAAUAUGGGGGGACCAUCCUCCAAGGCUAAAUACUCCUGACUGACCGAUAGUGAACCAGUACCGUGAGGGAAAGGCGAAAAGAACCCCGGCGAGGGGAGUGAAAAAGAACCUGAAACCGUGUACGUACAAGCAGUGGGAGCACAGGUUUACCUGUGUGACUGCGUACCUUUUGUAUAAUGGGUCAGCGACUUAUAUUCUGUAGCAAGGUUAACCGUAUAGGGGAGCCGUAGGGAAACCGAGUCUUAACCGGGCGUUAAGUUGCAGGGUAUAGACCCGAAACCCGGUGAUCUAGCCAUGGGCAGGUUGAAGGUUGGGUAACACUAACUGGAGGACCGAACCGACUAAUGUUGAAAAAUUAGCGGAUGACCUGUGGCUGGGGGUGAAAGGCCAAUCAAACCGGGAGAUAGCUGGUUCUCCCCGAAAGCUAUUUAGGUAGCGCCUCGUGAAUUCAUCUCCGGGGGUAGAGCACUGUUUCGGCUAGGGGGCCAUCCCGGCUUACCAACCCGAUGCAAACUGCGAAUACCGGAGAAUGUUAUCACGGGAGACACACGGCGGGUGCUAACGUCCGUCGUGAAGAGGGAAACAACCCAGACCGCCAGCUAAGGUCCCAAAGUCAUGGUUAAGUGGGAAACGAUGUGGGAAGGCCCAGACAGCCAGGAUGUUGGCUUAGAAGCAGCCAUCAUUUAAAGAAAGCGUAAUAGCUCACUGGUCGAGUCGGCCUGCGCGGAAGAUGUAACGGGGCUAAACCAUGCACCGAAGCUGCGGCAGCGACGCUUAUGCGUUGUUGGGUAGGGGAGCGUUCUGUAAGCCUGUGAAGGUGUGUCGUGAGGCAUGCUGGAGGUAUCAGAAGUGCGAAUGCUGACAUAAGUAACGAUAAAGCGGGUGAAAAGCCCGCUCGCCGGAAGACCAAGGGUUCCUGUCCAACGUUAAUCGGGGCAGGGUGAGUCGACCCCUAAGGCGAGGCCGAAAGGCGUAGUCGAUGGGAAACGGGUUAAUAUUCCCGUACUUGGUGUUACUGCGAAGGGGGGACGGAGAAGGCUAUGUUGGCCGGGCGACGGUUGUCCCGGUUUAAGCGUGUAGGUGUGUGUUCCAGGUAAAUCCGGUUCACUUUAACACUGAGGCGUGAUGACGAGGCACUACGGUGCUGAAGCAACAAAUGCCCUGCUUCCAGGAAAAGCCUCUAAGCAUCAGGUAACAUCAAAUCGUACCCCAAACCGACACAGGUGGUCAGGUAGAGAAUACCAAGGCGCUUGAGAGAACUCGGGUGAAGGAACUAGGCAAAAUGGUGCCGUAACUUCGGGAGAAGGCACGCUGAUAUGUAGGUGAAGUGAUUUACUCAUGGAGCUGAAAUCAGUCGAAGAUACCAGCUGGCUGCAACUGUUUAUUAAAAACACAGCACUGUGCAAACACGAAAGUGGACGUAUACGGUGUGACGCCUGCCCGGUGCCGGAAGGUUAAUUGAUGGGGUCAGCGCAAGCGAAGCUCCUGAUCGAAGCCCCGGUAAACGGCGGCCGUAACUAUAACGGUCCUAAGGUAGCGAAAUUCCUUGUCGGGUAAGUUCCGACCUGCACGAAUGGCGUAAUGAUGGCCAGGCUGUCUCCACCCGAGACUCAGUGAAAUUGAACUCGCUGUGAAGAUGCAGUGUACCCGCGGCAAGACGGAAAGACCCCGUGAACCUUUACUAUAGCUUGACACUGAACAUUGAGCCUUGAUGUGUAGGAUAGGUGGGAGGCUUUGAAGCGUGGACGCCAGUCUGCGUGGAGCCGACCUUGAAAUACCACCCUUUAAUGUUUGAUGUUCUAACGUGGACCCGUAAUCCGGGUUGCGGACAGUGUCUGGUGGGUAGUUUGACUGGGGCGGUCUCCUCCUAAAGAGUAACGGAGGAGCACGAAGGUUGGCUAAUCCUGGUCGGACAUCAGGAGGUUAGUGCAAUGGCAUAAGCCAGCUUGACUGCGAGCGUGACGGCGCGAGCAGGUGCGAAAGCAGGUCAUAGUGAUCCGGUGGUUCUGAAUGGAAGGGCCAUCGCUCAACGGAUAAAAGGUACUCCGGGGAUAACAGGCUGAUACCGCCCAAGAGUUCAUAUCGACGGCGGUGUUUGGCACCUCGAUGUCGGCUCAUCACAUCCUGGGGCUGAAGUAGGUCCCAAGGGUAUGGCUGUUCGCCAUUUAAAGUGGUACGCGAGCUGGGUUUAGAACGUCGUGAGACAGUUCGGUCCCUAUCUGCCGUGGGCGCUGGAGAACUGAGGGGGGCUGCUCCUAGUACGAGAGGACCGGAGUGGACGCAUCACUGGUGUUCGGGUUGUCAUGCCAAUGGCACUGCCCGGUAGCUAAAUGCGGAAAAGAUAAGUGCUGAAAGCAUCUAAGCACGAAACUUGCCCCGAGAUGAGUUCUCCCUGAGACUUAGAGUCUCCUGAAGGAACGUUGAAGACGACGACGUUGAUAGGCCGGGUGUGUAAGCACAGCGAUGCGUUGAGCUAACCGGUACUAAUGAACCGUGAGGCUUAACC
rnacentral:rRNA from 1 species